CCUACGGGAGGCUGCAGUGGGGAAUAUUGGGCAAUGGAGGCAACUCUGACCCAGCAACGCCGCGUGAAUGAUGAAGGUCUUCGGAUUGUAAAGUUCUGUGAUGGGGGAUGAACACAAUGACGGUACCACAAUAGCAAGCCACGGCUAACUACGUGCCAGCAGCCGCGGUAAUCCGUAGGUGGCAAGCGUUAUCCGGAAUGACUGGGCGUAAAGGGUGCGUAGGUGGUUUAGUAAGUUGGCGGUGUAAUUCCGGGGCUCAACCUCGGCGCUACCGCCAAAACUAUUAGACUAGAGUGCAGGAGGGGUAAGUGGAAUGCCUAGUGUAGCGGUGGAAUGCGUAGAUAUUAGGAGGAACAUCAGGGGCGAAGGCGACUUACGGAACUGUAACUGACACUGAGGCACGAAAGCGUGGGGAGCAAACAGGAUUAGAUACCCUUGUAGUC
rnacentral:rRNA from 1 species